rnacentral:rRNA from 1 species
GGCUAAAUACGACCACGAGACCGAUAGCGAACAAGUACCGUGAGGGAAAGUUGAAAAGCACUUUGAAGAGAGAGUUCAAGAGUACGUGAAACCGUUUAGGGGUAAACCUGAGAAACCCGAAAGGUCGAAGGGAGAAAUUCAUUCGCGUCUCGAGGCAGGCGUCGGACGGGGUCGAGCGACGGAACGGGCGCGCGUUUUUCUUCGGAAUCGCGCGUUCGACUUCGCGCCCUCCGUCCGUUCGAACCGGCAGCGAACGCGUGCACUUUUCUCCUGGUAGGACGUCGCGAUCCGUCGGGCGUCGGUCUACGACUUGCGGCGGAGACCGUCCGUCGUUCUUCGGAACGUACGGCGCGGACCCGCUCGUUCCGGCCGACUCGCUCGACGGUACAAAUCGAGGUCUGGGGUCGCUGCUACUUUUAGUCUCGCGUUCGCGCGAGACGAAAAAGAGAGCGUUCGACUCGUCGCAAGCGCGUCACGUGCGUCGGCACGCGGACCCGGUGCCGCGUCCGAUCUCUGGCGACUGUUGGCGACGAUUAGUUCUCGAACAGACUUCCCUCUCGGGGGUGGGGGGAGAGAGGGGUCAAACUCUUUCUCUCUCUCUCUCUCGAAGACCGAUCGGCGACG